AUCUUUUUAGUAUAAUAUGUACACUUGGCUUCCAACCAAAAAGUCUAACCUAAUUAGAAAAGAUA
rnacentral:tRNA from 1 species